UACGUAGGCAGCGAGCGUUGUCCGGAUUUACUGGGUGUAAAGGGUGCUCAGGUGGUUUUGUAAGUCAGAGGUGAAAUUUCGGGGCUCAACCCCGGACCUGCCUUUGAUACUGCAAAGCUUGUGUACGGAAGAGGCUGAUGGAAUUUCUGGUGUAGCGGUGAAAUGCGUAGAUAUCAGAAAGAACACCAGUGGCGAAGGCGGUCAGCUGGUCCGGUACAGACACUAAAGCACGAAAGCAUGGGGAGCAAACAGG
rnacentral:rRNA from 1 species